rnacentral:rRNA from 1 species
UACGUAGGGUGCAAGCGUUGUCCGGAAUUAUUGGGCGUAAAGAGCUCGUAGGCGGUUUGUUGCGUCGGCUGUGAAAUCCCGAGGCUCAACCUGGGAAUGGCAAUGGAUACUGGCAAGCUAGAGUGCGGUAGAGGGUAGUGGAAUUCCCGGUGUAGCGGUGAAAUGCGUAGAUAUUGGGAGGAACACCAGUGGCGAAGGCGGCCACCUGGACCGGUUCUGACGCUGAUGCGCGAAAGCGUGGGUAGCAAACAGG